rnacentral:rRNA from 1 species
UACGUAGGUGGCGAGCGUUGUCCGGAUUUACUGGGCGUAAAGGGAGCGUAGGCGGACUUUUAAGUGAGAUGUGAAAUACCCGGGCUCAACUUGGGUGCUGCAUUUCAAACUGGAAGUCUAGAGUGCAGGAGAGGAGAAUGGAAUUCCUAGUGUAGCGGUGAAAUGCGUAGAGAUUAGGAAGAACACCAAUGGCGAAGGCGAUUCUCUGGACUGUAACUGACGCUGAGGCUCGAAAGCGUGGGGAGCAAACAGG